UCUCUCUCUGCGAGAUUUUCGUCCCACAAGUUUGCAACUCUCACCUUUUGUUUCCCCGCAUCUCUUGUAAAAUUGGCGCGUGGUUGGUGGUUCCGUCCAUUCGUGGCAUCUACUUCAGUUUUAUCGUUUAUAAGUACCCGUUAGACCGCAAACAAGAGUCCAUUAAUUCACCCUUUCUUUGAACAACAACAUAUUGUAGUCGCCACGCCACCAAGCCGAAAUUGCCGACUUUGUCCUCGUCUCUCGUGCGCGUCGUCGCAUGUUUUUGUAGCAAAUAAUAUAUUACGCAAAGUUUGUGCGUAUAGGUGCGACGCGCUCAAGAAAAGGUUAUAUUGAACUAAUUCAACGCUUACGCUAAAGUUGUUCAUUUGCUGUUGGUAGACGUUCACACUAGUAAUUUACUUUUUUGGAUUUUUGGAUCAAGUUUUUACAUCUGAUUACUAACUAUAAAGAGCCAUGGCCGCUGCGGCGGCUGCUGCGCUCCUCGACGAGCUCAUGGGCAGGAACAGAAACGUUUUACCAAACGAAAAACCCAAGGAGCUCAACUGGGAGGACUCCGAGUUCUGCAAGUUGUACCUCGUCAAAUUCUGUCCACAUGACUUGUUUGUUAAUACAAGGGCAGAUUUGGGAGCCUGCUUGAAAGUACAUGACGAUGAGGCCAGAGAAUUGUAUGAAAAAGCUCCCUACAGUUACCGCAAGCAACAGUACGAAGACGAGUUUAUCAGAUUUUGCCAAAGCAUGCUCAACGAAGUGGAGAGAAAAAUUGUCAAAGGCAAACAACGACUGGCCUUAAUUGGGAGGACAGAAGCCCCAACAUUGUCACCUGCUCAAACUCAAAAGAAUGAAGAACAAAUUACCUUGCUCUCGGAAAAAAUUAACAAACUGGUGGAAGAAGCGGAACAGAGUGGAAUUCAGGGCAAUGUUGAACAGGCUCAAGGCUUGAUGCGUUUGUGCGAUCAAUUAAAGGAAGAGAGGGAGACUUUGCGUAAAUCCAACGACAAUAGCCAUUACAACCAAACUGCAGAAUUAGCUGCUGCCCAAGAAAAACAAAUGGAAGUCUGUGAUGUUUGUGGCGCAUUCCUUAUCGUUGGCGAUGCUCAACAACGAAUUGAUGAUCAUUUAAUGGGUAAACAGCAUGUGGGCUAUGCCAGGUUGAAGAGUGCACUGCAAGAGAUUCAGGGCAAGCGAGAAAAACUAAGAGAAGAAAAAGAUAUGGAAAGAAAACGAUCACGGGAUGAAGAGGAUAGACGACGAAGACAUGACCGUGGCAGAGAUCGGGAAAGAAGAGAUAGGCACAGAGAUAGAGCUGGAGAUAAGGGAGGAGAUAGAGGAGACAAAGGGGGAGAUCAUGAUAGAGACAGACGUAGAAGAAAGGAGGAAGAAAAAAGAUGUGACCCGCAAAGAAAUUCUAAGCAUCGAAGUAGAAGUAAGUCCAAAGAAAAGCACGAUCGUCGAGAUGAAGACAAAGAUCGGCGCCAUAAAGACCGAGGUAGUCAUGAUCAUCAUUCUAACCAUCAAAAUCGCAAACGACACCGAUCCCGAAGUAGAAGUCACAAGUAACUACUCUUGAUCGGUUAGUGAGUGAGCGAAAAUUCAGGUAUGCACUUUACAAUUCACUUAUUAACGUCUCAAUUACUGUACAGAUUGUUUUUCACCAGGUAAGUUUCAUUAGCUGCAUUUUUUAAACCAAAGUAGAUUUUUUUUUUUUUUUUUCAACUCGUACUUUUCAUUUCGAUUGAUAUUCUACUUUUCUUGAUUGAUAUUUUAACUUUUCAUUCGAUUUUCUAUUUACAUGAAUUUUAUUGUCAGUGUGUAACUCAUUUACUAAUAAAAUUAAGAAAAAAAAGGUGCCUAGUUUAAAAACUUUGCACCUACAUACAGUUCUUUUAAUAACCAGUCGUACGCAAACGUAUUGAGACGUUAAGCAAAUAACCUUUAGAAUUAAAACAAACAAACAAAAAAUCCUAUAAUGUUACACAGAGCAAGGUAGGAGAAGGUAUACCUACACUUGCCUCUACUCUCUUUUAGUCGUUGAUAAUGUAUCUUUAGGUUGUACACGCAAAUUUAAUGAUAAAUACACCCCAAGGACAGCGGUAGAUUGUUUUUGUAACGAAUUUUAAAGCGGUUUAGAGCUAUUAUAACGGAGAGGAUUAAACAGUGUGCCCACUUCUUCCAAUAAACCAAUGUGCCUCGACAGUGUGCUGAAUAUACAAUCCUAAGCUUCUGCCUACGCACAAAAAAUUCAGAGGAAGAUUAAAGCAGCCGAAUACUCAUACAACUUAUAAGAUUAGUUAUGCAUCAACAGCUGUACGAUGAAGACAAAAGGAGUCAGACUAUACUGGGGAUCCAGUUAAAGGUAACGAUUUUCCAUACUAUGGUUUGAGAUUAUACAUAAUGGGCAAGAACGUGGGAUUCGGACGCAAUCUCGGAAUGAUGUUUUCCUCCUCAAGACGAAACUAAUGAUGCGCGAAUGUCGCUAUUUUCACAAUUUUUCAUUCACUCAAUUCAGAUAUACACAUACUUAUAUAUAUAUAAUAAUAAGUAUGCGUGUUGUGAGAUUAAUUUUCGUCACUUCAAUCAAACAAUUUAUUUUUUGAUUUUUGUUACUCUGUUACCAAUGCAACUUUUAAUUUUUUCAUUGUUUAUUAUCUGAAUUGUAGUAUUUGAACAAUCUUGUUAUAAUAAAAGCUAAGUUUUGGACCUUCAGAUGCUGUUUUAGUUUAUUUAUAACGAAUAAAUGAAAAAAAUUUGUGUACCAUAAAUGAUUUUUCUGUAAGCAUAGAAUAAAGGUCUUUUAAUUCAUGUCA